rnacentral:tRNA from 1 species
GCCGAGGUGGGCCGGGGCGCCACGCAGGUCCCGGCGGCGGCGGUGUCCGCGCUGCGGGCGGAUCCCGCGUUCGACCUCGUGGCCGGGGUCC